GUCCACGCUGUAAACGAUGGGUACUAGGUUUGGCGGGUCUUGACCCCUGCUGAACCGGAGCUAACGCGAUAAGUACCCCGCCUGGGAAGUACGGUCGCAAGACUAAAAACUCAAAGGAAUUGACGGGGGCCCGCACAAGCGGUGGAUCAUGUGGUUUAAUUCGAAGCAACGCGAAGAACCUUACCUGGAUUUGACAUCCUCUGACAAACGUAGAGAUACGUCUUUGUAGCAAUACAACAGAGAGACAGGUGCUGCAUGGCUGUCGU
rnacentral:rRNA from 1 species